rnacentral:rRNA from 1 species
GACGAACGCUGGCGGCGUGCUUAACACAUGCAAGUCGAACGGUGAAGCGCCUUCCUUUUUGGUGGGUGUGGAUGAGUGGCGAACGGGUGAGUAACACGUGAGUAACCUGCCCCCUUCUUCUGGAUAACCGCAUGAAAGUGUGGCUAAUACGGGAUAUUCUGGGUCUGUCGCAUGAUGGGUCUGGGAAAGAUAUUGUUUCGGUGGGGGAUGGGCUCGCGGCCUAUCAGCUUGUUGGUGGGGUGAUGGCCUACCAAGGCGGUGACGGGUAGCCGGCCUGAGAGGGUGGACGGUCACACUGGGACUGAGACACGGCCCAGACUCCUACGGGAGGCAGCAGUGGGGAAUAGUGCACAAUGGGCGCAAGCCUGAUGCAGCGACGCCGCGUGAGGGAUGGAGGCCUUCGGGUUGUGAACCUCUUUCGCCAGUGAAGCAGGCCUGCCUCGUUUGUGGGUGGGUUGACGGUAGCUGGAGAAGAAGCGCCGGCUAACUACAUG